UCCUGGGAUCCUGUGCUGUUGAGAAGGUGUUACUGUGGGAGUGAUGGGAUGAGCACGAGAGGAGCCUCGUUAGUAAGUUUUGUGUGUUGUGUUUUGGAUGGGUCUGUUCAAGAGGACAACCACUGAGCCCGGACCUUUGAAUCGCCAUUGAAGAUGUUUUGGCUCCUAGUCAAGUUAUUCCUCAUUGUUCAGCUGCAAAUGGUCAUGAAAAUACUGGGCUUCCAUACUUUUAGGAGACAACUCUGGUCAUCAGCUCUGAUAGUUGCCCUGUCCUUGCGGAGGGUGAUGCUGCAGAACAGUGCUGUGAAAAGGAGCACAAGGAGAAGCACAGUCCGGAGGGAAACUGUGCAGAGGCACACGAGGAGAUCAACGAGGAUUGCAAAAAAUCUAAAGAGAUUGAGACAGCGGAUUCUGCACUAUCAGCUGAGCUGUGGCUGCAGGUUUCAUGUGGUGGAUAGAAGAGACUGCAUCCAUUGUGUGCAGGCUCAGCCCCUCUCACCACCACCACGUGCACUGGGGUCAUGUGCACUGCAAAGGG